GCCCAAAGCCAGAGGCAGGAACUCCCCAGAUCCUCCCAGGGUAGCAUGGGAGGAUGCCGCCUCCUCCAGGAAGCUCUCUAGCGCUUUUCCGAGUCCUGGAGCCAGGCGGGACUUCUCUGUGGUCGCCUAGAAGGGUAUGAACUUAGGGCAUCCCCAUCUGGGCUGUGAAGGUUUCUGACUUGGGGACCAGGUGCUCAGACCUUCCUGGAUGCUGCUUUCCACAAUAUCUCUACCAGGCAGGCAGGUUCUCUUCAUUUUGCAAAUUUGGUGAAACAGCAUUUGUAAAACUUUAGAAGCUUCCUUGGCUCACACAGGUGGUAGUGGCCCUGUCAGGAUUUGACCCAGGCUCUCGGAUUCCAGAGUUCCUGAAUUUAACCACCUGUACUGUGAUGCCUCCUUAUCAUGUGUGCAUCGUGCAUUACUAUUUUUUAUAGCCUGUAGGGUACUGAGCACCAUGCACACCUACAGUGAUCACAGGCACUGCCUACUGGAAGGUCUUCUUUGGCUGGGUUCCAGUUUCCUCAGACGAUGUAGGGCAGGGAGUUCCACUUGUUAGCAUAUCCCACAGGGCCUUUCUCUUCAAAUGGACCCCAGCAGCCAACCACACAGCUGCCUCAGCAAGCGUAGGAGAUGGCACAUCAGAGACCAACAAUUGUCAGCACAGCAAAACUGGGCAUUUCUUUUCUUACUGAGCUUUGCAGCUACCUACACAGUUGUGUGUGGCAUCUCCUCCUGGGUGCAAGGACAUGAGAUGACAUCAGGGUCUUGCUGUGUCAUCCAGGCUGGAGUGCAGUGAUAUGAGCAUGGCUCACUGCAGCCUCGACCUCCCAGCUUCAAGCAAUGCUCCCACCUUGGCCUCCCAAAGCGCUGGGAUUACAGGCAUGAGCCACCAUGCCUGGCCAUUGCCAUUGCACUUCAGCUGGUUCUCCUGAACCUUGAAUUAUCUUAGGAAAGAUUGUAUUUUCAGGAAUUAAGUCUAUUGGAGACACAGCAGGACUCCACAGCCAGCUAGAUUUGGAUAAAAUGACUGCCUCAAGGCCAGUGUGUUGACUUCUGACCAGUCUCAUCUGAACCCACACCCUUUAACAUAUAUACAAAACACCUGAAGGGUUGGGCUGCCAGCUUUCUUUAGGAUGAUAGAGGGCAGGUUAAGUUUGUUUGACAUAACUAGAAGAGGUGGAGCCUCUUCCUAAUGGAGCAAGGUCCAUUUAUGGCAAACUGUGGUCCCCCACCACUAUCAGCUACUUCUGGAUAGCUUUUGCUUAAAGUUGAUGAGAUAUUGUUUCUUUCACUAGAAGAAAAUGAAUGAGUUGGUGAUCCCAAA
rnacentral:lncRNA from 1 species